rnacentral:ncRNA from 1 species
CAACAGUUUUGGUCCUGGGCUAACCGUUGUUUUUUAUUAAGUUUAUACAUGCAAGUUUCAACAAACCAGUGAAAAUGCCCACAAAUCCCUAAAAAGAAACAUGGAGCAGACAUUAGGCACCACUAAUUUGAGCCCACAACGUCUUGCUAUGCCACACCCCCACGGGUAAUCAGCAGUAAUAAAUAUUGAACCAUAAGUGAAAACUUGAUUCAACUAUAAUACUAACCAAGGGCUGGUUAAUUUCGUGCCAGCUACCGCGGUUAUACGAAAAGCCCAAAACAACGACUAACGGCGUAAAAUGUGACUAGAGAUAUAUUUAUUAAAAAUACUUAAACCUGCUACCCAGCCGUAAAACACUUAAGGAGUAAGGAAAACCAACAAAAGUGCUUUUAAUAUAUACCCUUGAAUUCACGAAAGCUUAGAAACAAACUAGGAUUAGAUACCCUACUAUGCUAAGCACUUAACAUUGAGAAAACACUAUACAGCACCCUCCGCCAGAAAACUACAAAUGAAAAAUUUUAAACUCAAAGGACUUGACGGUGUCCCACACCAACCUAGAGGAGCCUGUCCUAUAAUCGAUAACCCUCGCUAUACCUAACCUUAACUAGCAUUUUUCAGCCUAUAUACCGCCGUCGACAGCUCACCCCAUGAGGGUAUAAUAGUAAACACAAUAGCCUACCACUAAUACGCCAGGUCAAGGUGUAGCAAAUGUUAAGGAAGAGAUUGGCUACAUUUUUUAUUUUAAAAAAUACGGAAAGUACCAUGAAAUAGUACAUGAAGGUGGAUUUAGAAGUAAAAUAAAUUAGAGAUUUUAUUUUAACAUUGCUCUGGGACGCGUACACACCGCCCGUCACCCUCCUCAAUUAUAAAACCAAAAAUAUAUAAAUUAACUAAUUAAUUAAAUCAGAGGAGGUAAGUCGUAACAUGGUAAGCGUACCGGAAGGUGUGCUUGGAUUAA